UACGGGGGGGGCAAGCGUUGUUCGGAAUUACUGGGCGUAAAGGGCUCGUAGGCGGCCAACUAAGUCAGACGUGAAAUCCCUCGGCUUAACCGGGGAACUGCGUCUGAUACUGGAUGGCUCGAGUUUGGGAGAGGGAUGCGGAAUUCCAGGUGUAGCGGUGAAAUGCGUAGAUAUCGGGAGGAACACCUGUGGCGAAGGCGGCCCCCUGGUCGGAUACUGACGCUGAGGAGCGAAAGCGUGGGGAGCGAACAGG
rnacentral:rRNA from 1 species